ACGAACGCUGGCGGCAGGCUUAACACAUGCAAGUCGAACGCCCCGCAAGGGGAGUGGCAGACGGGUGAGUAACGCGUGGGAACAUACCCUUUUCUACGGAAUAGCUCUGGGAAACUGGAAUUAAUACCGUAUACGCCCUACGGGGGAAAAAUUUAUCGGGGAAGGAUUGGCCCGCGUUGGAUUAGCUAGUUGGUGGGGUAAAGGCCUACCAAGGCGACGAUCCAUAGCUGGUCUGAGAGGAUGAUCAGCCACAUUGGGACUGAGACACGGCCCAAACUCCUACGGGAGGCAGCAGUGGGGAAUAUUGGACAAUGGGCGCAAGCCUGAUCCAGCCAUGCCGCGUGAGUGAUGAAGGCCUUAGGGUUGUAAAGCUCUUUCACCGAUGAAGAUAAUGACGGUAGUCGGAGAAGAAGCCCCGGCUAACUUCGUG
rnacentral:rRNA from 1 species